GGGGCACAUUUCAUUUCAUUCUUGGCUUGCCUGAGCUGCUUGAAAAACAGCCUUUGCUCCUUCUUCAGGUUCUCCAUUCGAUACUAGCUACGGAAGGUGUAAAAUGCUUCCAGGCAGGAGCCAGAAAACAGAGCCCAGCCAUACAAUACUACAAGUAACCACAUAGCUGUUAUUGAUGAUGCCAAGUUUUAAGGAAAACAGAAGACAGGCUGAAGAAAGUCAACGAAGAGGCCGUGUGUGUGUGGGGAGAAGGUGAACAUUUGAAAAGAAAGCAAAACAACAGAUAGGUUCUGUUCCAUGACAAGGUAUAUGUUUGCUUUGGUUAGAACCAGCCCGAAGCUUUCUAAUAAAGGUCACGUGGA